rnacentral:lncRNA from 1 species
CCCGAUCUUUCUGAAGUGUCCCCCGAAGACUCCGGGCGGGCUGGGCUGGGGAGAGGGACUCCCGACCGUGCAGUUGCAGGAACGACCGCGGGCGAGCCACGUCGAGGCGAGUAUCCAGGGGAGGCACGCUGGGGGAACCGAGGCGUCUUUUGGGGCGGACCAGAGGGGUCUGCCGUUUGGCCCCCAAUUCUGCCUCUUUCUAGGCCCCGAGGACCACUGGUCCCUGCCCUCAAGUCUGGAAAGGGCUUCACCAGCCAGGAAGACCCUUCAAUCAACAGAAAGGGCCUGCUCCUGCUUCUCACGCUUUGGGCAAAGCGCCUAUCCCCAGAAAAUGACUCCUCGUGCCACUGGAAGGCUGAUUAACAAGUGGCAUGAGCCCUACUGUUCAGAUGAAAGGGGCUGUGGGGAGCCACGCUGCAGAACCACCGCCACCUUCAGAACCACCAGCCUCCGCCCACAGCCACUCCUAGAAGCAACUUGUAGCUCUGGCCUCAUGGGCGGUGCAGCGUCUUUCCUGCCAGCUGGUCCUCUGAGCUGGGCAGGUGGUUAGAAGAGGUGGUCCUCAUGGAGGACACCCCACGGGCACCUGGAGACAGAUGCUACCUCCUGGCUAGGGGCAAAAGGCAGAGGUGAAGGGGCUUGACGUCCUGAGGUUUGGAGGUAACUUUAAGCCAGGGUGCAGUCCUGGAGGGGAGGAACACUUCAGGCUGCGUCAGCAGAUCUGGAUUAUAAAUCAGUCCGACAGCAGCUUUUGUUCUGGGUUAAAACUUGGCAUCUGAAAAGUGGAGACCAGAAAAGUGGUGGAGAUAAUUGAGAAAAGCAGCCCAGUUUGGUUUCAGUAACAAUCGGGUCUUUGCUGGUACACAUAAUGGCCCCUUCUCCCUUGCUGGCCAAAGCCACGUUUCCCAGCUCUUUUCCACUAGGAAAAAGAAAAAAAGCUGUGGCCUUGGAGAUGCUGGAGAUAAUGACCAUGGGGUGGGCAGGGAAGGCCUCCUGCUUCAGCUGACAAGGUGGGAGAAGAUUUUUGCAGCUUGUCUUGAUGUACAUUUUCUUACUUCACCCUUAUGACCACCCUUUAAAAAGUAAGUAAUUUGGGAGGCUGAGAUGGGAGGAUCACUUGACCCCAGGAGUUCAAGACCAGCCAGGGCAACAUACUGAGACCCUGUCUCUACAAAAGAAAUUAUUAUUAUUAUUUUUUUUUUGAGACAGAGUCUCACUCUGUCACCCAGGCGGGAGUGCAAUAGCGCGAUCUCGGCUCACUGCAACCUCCACCUCCUGGGUUCAAGUGAUUCUCCUGCUUCAGCCUCCCAAGUAGCUGGAAUUACAGGUGCCUGCCACCAGACCUGGCUAAUUUUUGUAUUUUUAGUAGAGACGGGGUUUCACCAUGUUGACCAGGCAUGCGCCACCAUGCCCAGCUAAUUUUUGUAUUUUUAGUAGAGAUGGGACUUCGCCGUUUUGGUCAGGCUGGGCUCGAACUCCUGACCUCAGGUGGUCCACCUGCUUAGGCCUCCCAAAGUGCUGGGAUUAGCCACUACGCCCAGCCCCAAAUUAAAAAAAAAAAAAAACUAGCGGGGCGUGGCGGGGAGGGGUGGCUCACGCCUGUAAUCCCAGCACUUUGGGAGGCUGAGGCAGGCGGAUCACGAGAUCAGGAGAUCCAGAUCAUCCUGGCUAACAUGGUGAAACCCUGUCUUUACUAAAAAUACAGAAAAAUUAGCCAGGCGUGGUGGCGGGCGCCUGUAGUCCCAGCUACUCGGGAGGCUGAGACAGGAGAAUGGCGUGAACCCAGGAGGCAGAGCUUGUAGUGAGCCAAGAUCACUCCACUGCACUCAAGCCUGGGCAACAGAAGGAGACUCUGUCUCAAAAACAAACAAACAAACAAACAAACAAACCAAACUAGCGGGGGCGUGGUGGCAUGCAUCUGUAAGUCCCAGCUACUCAGGAGGCUGGAGUGGGAGGGUCGCUUGAGCCCAGGAGGUUGAGGCUGCAGUGAGCUGUGAUUGUGCCAUUGCACUCCAGCCUGUAGAGCGAGACCCUGCCUCGACAAAAUUAAAAAAAUAAGUAUUGUUGCUCCCCUUUUGGAGAUGAGUCAAAAAGAUUAAACAACUAGCCCCAAGUCAUGGAGAUAAUUAAAAAAGAUUAAACAACUAGCCCCAAGUCAUGGAGAUAAUUAAAAAAGAUUAAACAACUAGCCCCAAGUCAUGGAGAUAAAAAGGUCAGAAUUUCUUUUUUAGAAACGGGGUCUUACUCUGUUGCCCAGUCUGGAGUGCAAUGGCACAGUCAUGGCUCAAUGUAACCUCAGACUCCUGGGCUCAAGCGGUCCUCCCACGUGAGCCUCCCAAGACUACAGGUGCACACCAUCAUACACGGGACAGGGUCUCGCUAUAUUGCUCAGACUGGAAAGUUCAGAUUUUUAAAUCAGGUCUUGGGACUCCCGAUUCUGUUUUUCCACAGAGUCACCAUCUAUCCUGACAAUGCUCCAUUUCAUGCUGUUUUUCCUCACCUUCAAUACUGCUCCCCCAUCCCCCCACCUCUAGGUGUGAAGGUUACCAGGAGAGACCUGAGCUCGCUGGCUCUGACUCCAAGGUGGCCUCAGUGGAAAGUUUCAAAAGGCAACCGGUUUGGUUUCACUGGCAGGGCAGCGGCAGGCGUUUGGGUUCUGGAGGCCCAGGAAUGUAGAAGCCUCCAGCUAACAGACUCCACGCGCCUAUCCUCCCAAACGCUCUCGGAGAUAAGCUCCCAGCUCCCUCCCCUUUUCCACCUUCAUGCACUUCCUGCUGUAUUCUGUCCAUUCCAGCACUGGCCCUUUCUGUGGGUGGGUGGGCAGAGGAUACAAUUUCCUGCAUGACUACUUGCUCAUGAUUCAUACUUCUAAAUGAAAGUACAACUGAUAUAAAAAAAAGAUUUCUGGGUCUUCAAUUAAUAAAAAAAUUACUAAUACAGGUACCGGGGGUGGGGGGAGGUGCACGUACCUGACUAGUCUCCCUAGGGCCUAGCAUAUCUAUGGAAGGUAUCCACACUUUGGGACUCAGGCCUUGACAACUGCUUGUGGUCGUGUCAAGGAAAGACACAGAAAUUGUGCUAAAU